rnacentral:rRNA from 1 species
AGGACGAACGCUGGCGGCGUGCUUAACACAUGCAAGUCGAACGGAAAGGCCCGCUUGCGGGUACUCGAGUGGCGAACGGGUGAGUAACACGUGGGCAAUCUGCCCUCAGCUCUGGGAUAACUCCGGGAAAACCGGUGCUAAUACUGGAUAUCGACUUCUGCCUCGCAUGGGGUGUUGUUGAAAGUUUUUCGGCUGGGGAUGGGCCCGCGGCCUAUCAGCUUGUUGGUGGGGUGAUGGCCUACCAAGGCGACGACGGGUAGCCGGCCUGAGAGGGCGACCGGCCACACUGGGACUGAGACACGGCCCAGACUCCUACGGGAGGCAGCAGUGGGGAAUUUUGCGCAAUGGGGGAAACCCUGACGCAGCAACGCCGCGUGGAGGAUGAAGCCUCUUGGGGUGUAAACUCCUUUCGAUCGGGAAGAUAAUGACGGUACCGAUAUAAGAGCCCCGGCUAACUUCGCGCCAGCAGCCGC